rnacentral:tRNA from 1 species
GGAGAGAUGGCCGAGUGGCUUAAGGCGCACGCUUGGAAAGUGUGUGUACUGUCAAAAGUACCGUGGGUUCGAAUCCCACUCUCUCCGCCA